CACAAAUUUAACUCGUCAUGAUUAAUUAAAAACAAAAUUUCAACAACUGUCUUCAUCAAAAUAACAAAAACAUCAAAACCAAACACAUCAUCAUAAUAAUGUUGUCCCUAAACACAAUCUGCAAAAUUAAAAACACCUCAAAACCGUCUAUGUAUUAGUGGCUCUAGUGUAAAUCUGCUGACUAGAAUGAGCAGACACCAACCUAAUCAAUCCUCUUGCCAUCAAAUCUCUGAUUGCACGACGUGCCAAAGAUCCAUUAAUCUGAAAACAUUGCAAAUUCAUUAAAACGAAUAAAAGCGACAAAGGCCGAAUCUAUAAAAUGGUUAUAAUCAAGAUAAGAAAGUUUACCCUGAGACGAUCGGAGAGGACUGAAGGAGUGAUGAGUUUGUAUUUGGGAGCUUCAGUGAGAAGCUUAUCAUAGGUACCUUGAUCAAACAAGACCAUGUUGUUAACCUUUUCCUUUUGUUUACCUUUGCUCCAUUUCUUCUUCUUUUGCUUUCCUCCUCCUGAUUUCGCUGGCUUUGAUGACGGUGGUGGUGCUGCCUUCUUCGGUGCC
rnacentral:lncRNA from 1 species